UACAGAGGGUGCAAGCGUUGUUCGGAAUUAUUGGGCGUAAAGGGCGCGCAGGCGGCUCAUUUUGUCAGGCGUGAAAGCCCCGGGCUUAACCUGGGAACUGCGUUUGAUACGGAUGGGCUAGAGUUCGGGAGAGGAGAGUGGAAUUCCCAGUGUAGAGGUGAAAUUCGUAGAUAUUGGGAAGAACACCGGUGGCGAAGGCGGCUCUCUGGCUCGACCCUGACGCUGAGGCGCGAAAGCGUGGGGAGCGAACGGG
rnacentral:rRNA from 1 species